rnacentral:lncRNA from 1 species
CAUGAAUCAAACACGGAGCAAUCAGUCUUGAAGCACUACAGUACAAAUCAAUUGACAAAUUACUCUAUCAACUUUCAGAUUUGAAGCACUAUAAACUUGAAUCAACUUUUAGAAUCUAGUACAUACUAAUAAUGUAAAUGCAGAGUGUGACACAACUAUAUCGGGAUUGAGGGGGACUUAUAGUGUGCACGUUGGUGUCAUCAGUAAUUAUUGUUUGCAUGUCCGAGAGGAGAACCUCCUUGGCCUCCACCUGCGUUCGACCGGCCGCCUUAGACACUUGCAUAUGCACACACAUUAUACAUUAGAAUCAGGCCAAAUCUGAAGAACAAUAUAGUUUGCACAUAAUACUAUCAGUGUCAGGAUAGAUGAAUACACCAGAUGUGGUUGUGGACUAAAAAGAAUAUCAUUGCCAUUUAACUAAGCCUAGAAUCUGAAGUUUGACGAAAGAACAUAGCAGAAAAUGAACUUGACUAUGUAAAUAGAUCAAUUACUUGCCUGGUUGUAAGUACCCGUUUUUUAUUUUGAGAAAAUCUGAACAUCCACACCAGUGAUAUUGACAUCACACUCAAACUCUCUUGUUGUUAACUGACAUCACACUCAAACUCUCUUGUUGUUAACUACAAAUAGAAUCCAUUUAUGUAGGGGUUCAUGAUGUGUUGCUUAUCAGUAAAAUAUAAUCUACUGUCGGCAACAACUAAAUUCUGAACAAUUACUUCUGGUGAGCUUAGAAUCGAUUAAGCUAUUGGAGAUUGAUAAUAUAGUGUCAAGAUUUUAACAAAGAAAGCAUCAUUCUACUCGUAGUGAAGAGGAAAGGCAUCAAAGAGAACACCUACAAAAGGUUUAAUGGAACCUGAUUACUGGUCCCUUCUUUUUUUCAUGAUUGCAGAAGGUAUAAAUUAACAGAAUGAGAAUGCAUUAGAAUUAGGAGCAAGCACAUUAAAAUGCACACCAAAUUGAUGCAUGUAUUUUCUUGCACCCAAACAACAUGACAAAAUGAUGAAGCAUCACGGUGGCCAAGUUUUUUGCACUCUUUCUAAAACAGAACAUGGAGCCCUCACUGUCAAGAACUAAAGCAUGCAUAAUUAUGUUAAAUUUCUAAUAGUAGGAUUUGGGGUGUUUUAACACAACAUUUGAUUGGUUUGCUAGGGUUACUUUUGCGUAACCUAUGCCAAUAUAAGGGAUUUUGCUAUGUACGAAAAAUUAAGUGAUGGUGGAUCCUUGCCCUCUUGUUAUGUUAGCUCACGCAUUUUAGGUUCAUGCUUUCUUUCUUCAGCUUAGAUGAAGUGCAGCACAAAUAUGUUGGCUUCAGUACUACCUUUUGUAUUUAUUAUCUAUAUUUGUGUAACGUAUUUUCCAUCCACGCAGUCUAGCUUCAGUUAGUAUAUGUGAUAAGUUAUAUCCCAAUUUUGUAUCCUUUGCUCCUUGAACGCCUAAUAUGUACGGUAACUAACUUCCUUGAACGCCUAAUGAGUCACCACGAACAACACGUGAUCAACUGACUACCUUUGAAAUGGCCGAUUACGCAGAACCGCUCACAGAUGCUUCUGUUCGUCGCAGCCGUUGUUUGGAUGGAACAGCCAAGCUUUGCAAGUUUGAAUGCCAACUUCUAGAUCCACUGUCGGACAUAGAUUGUUUGUUCUGCAGGACAGGAUCCAAUUAAUGAAAUUAAGGUCAGGACUUGAACAAGGCAAGAGAAAUCUCCAACAAAAAUGAUCGAGUCAUCACUUUUAAUCGCUGGUAACAUGUGCAAACUGAACCUUUGAAAAAUGAAGGCUGACAGUGAAACACCACCAUAUACCAAACCUGCACAAGAUGUAUGUAGUCGGUCGUCGGCGGUUGUUGGGGCAGGGUUCAGUAUGUAUGAACAAAUAAUCCACUUGUUCCAAUAUCGCGCAAACAUAUUUUAAUUAGCAUUGACCUGUACCCACAAAAAAAGGGUAAGGAAAAAUAGUCGCUUUAUGCCAACAAGGAUGGAGCAAUCACGCUGAUGAAUCAAUCCCCAUAUACACUUGCAACAAGAAAUGAACACGGUAUGGGAAACCAAUGAAUCCAAAUGCUCACGUCUUUACCUUUGAGUUGGUCCUCAACACAUGAACCUGCCAAGUUGGAAACUGGAACUCUAAAGGACCAGCCUAGACUGCGGACAAAAUCUAUCAGCCUAGCAUGGGAUUUAUUAGACGGACGAAAUCUAGACUGCGGAGACAUGGAUG